rnacentral:rRNA from 1 species
AAGAGUUUGAUCAUGGCUCAGGACGAACGCUGGCGGCAUGCCUAACACAUGCAAGUCGAACGAGAAAGUUCCUUCGGGAGCAAUUAAAGUGGCGCACGGGUGAGUAACGCGUAGACAAUCUGCCCUUCAGUCUGGGACAACUUUUCGAAAGGAGAGCUAAUACCGGAUAACAAUGCAUGACACAAGUUGUAUAUUUGAAAGCUUUAUGUGCUGAAGGAGGGGUCUGCGUCCCAUUAGCUAGUUGGUAAGGUAAAGGCUUACCAAGGCAACGAUGGGUAGCGGGUUUGAGAGGACGAUCCGCCACACUGGAACUGAGACACGGUCCAGACUCCUACGGGAGGCAGCAGUGGGGAAUAUUGCACAAUGGAGGAAACUCUGAUGCAGCAAUGUCGCGUGAGUGAAGAAGGCCCUUGGGUCGUAAAGCUCUUUUAUGGGGGAAGAUGAUGACGGUACCCCAAGAAUAAGCACCGGCUAACUAUGUGCCAGCAGCCGCGGUAAUACAUAGGGUGCGAGCGUUGUUCGGAAUUACUGGGCGUAAAGGGCGCGCAGGCGGAAUAGUAAGUCGGAGGUGAAAGCCCGGGGCUCAACCCCGGAGGGUCUUUCGAAACUACUAAUCUAGAGAGGGUCAGGG